rnacentral:rRNA from 1 species
CCGUGCUAAGGUAGCAUAAUCACUCGCCUUUUAAUUGUAGGCUUGUAUGAAUGGAUAAACGAGAGACCAGCUGUCUCAUAUAAAUAAAUAAAAACUACUCUUCAGGUGAAGAAGCCUGAUUAAAAUUAAAAGACAAGAAGACCCUAUAGAGUUUUACUUCAAUAACACAUAUUUACAAAUAAUAAUGUUUAAAUAAAUGUUAAAUAGUUUAGUUGGGGCGACUUA